CCGGAAGUGGUGUGAACAGAGGGAAGCGCAGGAAUAAGAGGGAGAAAGCCCGGAAGCAAAGCUAACCCAUUGGAGCACCAAAUCUGUGGGUCCUCAUGGCUGGCCAGCAGCCAAGGCCCACCACCCACACCAUCACUUUCUGAGAGAAAGGCUGCCUGUGCCUGGAUGCCACCUUGAGACCACAGGAACGUCCUGUCCCGGCCUCCAAGUAGCUGCUGCCCGCCUUGACCAAGCAGCACUGAGGGACUUUCCCAAACCAAUUCUUGCUGUGUGGUGGAUGACUCAGAACCGUCGCUGUUGUCCAAGCACCGGGAUGGCCUCCAGACCCCUAUGGUAAUGAUCCAGCCAUGAAAGCCUACUCGUCUGGAAGCUGGAGUAUCGGCUUGCACCAGGUGAAGCAAAACCAGAACCCUGCAAGCCUCGUAGACUUGGAAAUCUACCAAAUCACUUCACUCGAUCAACCCAGUCCUUGUAGUUACUCCAUCCAAGCCCUCUCUCUCUCCUGCAA
rnacentral:lncRNA from 1 species